GAGGAGUGCUGGCUAUUUUGAGGAGAGGGCUUUCUUUUUCUUUUUUUUUAACUGGCACAAAAAUCACAUCCUCUUUCUUAUGCAAUGGGACAAAUAUGAGUAUGUCAAAGAUCACAUCUUCUCUGUGAUCUGAAGUUGUCCUCCUGAAAAUAAGGAAUAUGGUAGGGGAAAAAAGUCUAUGUAAGCCCCAGACCUCAGUUUCAUGACCUCGUCAUCCCUAAGUAUUGCUGGGACUCCACUUCAGUCCCUCACUCCCACGACCAGAUUCUGUCCUGGUGACCACGGAGGAAGGAUGCUCCAGGGACAGGAUCUAAGCACAGCCUCCUCUCCUGACAAGCCACCUGGUCCAUUACUGCCCACAGCCUCAAGCUUCUCCUUCAUCAGGAUCUCAGAUAAGACUUAAGUCCAAGAUCACACAGUCAAUAAGUGGUGGAGAUAAAACUUGAACCCCAUCAGCUGCAUCUCUGUGCACAGCUGGAUGAGUACCGUGAGGCCACAUGCCUACCAGCCCCCACGGCACCAAAUCAACCAGUCCACUGGGGACUCUACAGGACCAGACCUGCCACCCAAGCCCACUGGAGGAUGUGUGGAGCAGAAGCUGAGAAAUGCUAACGUGGGAGGCUUGUGCGGGAAGUUGCUCCUGAGCUGUGAGAGUUCGGACAGGGUGCUGGAUCUUCCUACAAAAGGCAUACGUUUUCCAGGUUCAUCAUGUGGUGUUAAAAGCAACAUGGCGUUUGCAAAAUUAAGUGACGAGCAUAAUGGAACAUGGAAAUUUCCUAGUCAAACUUCAACAAAAUCUUUACCUAACUGAUGAAUGGGAGUGAAGAGUGAUUUAGACAGCACAUCCAGUGAUGCACUUCUUCCAUCUGGAUGAGCACUUCUUCAUUAGAAUUGGUUUCAGAUAAUUGGCUUCAAAUUGAUUGGCCCCUCUACACCAACUGGACAAGACUUUCUUCUCCAUUCAGGAAUUUCUUGGCUCCUGCCUGUCUCCUGCCCAUUUUCAACCUCCUCCACAUCUUGUACUGUCUGUUCCCUUUGCUUCUCGAGACCCCUUCCUCGUCUCCCAUCGCCAACUUCCUCAGCCUGGCUCUUCGGUUCACAAGUCCACUCACAGUUAAAAUUCAUCUGGGAAUUACUAAUACUAGGAAAAUGCACAUAUGAUUUGCCUUUUAUGGAUGGGAGAACUGAGACAUGACACUUUUAAGUGGCUUUUCUAAGAUCACACAACUGUUUAGUGACAAAACUGGGAACUUUAUUUUUAUGUAUUGGCUCCUAGAUAUAGUCUGUUUCCAGAUAAACCAAGGGAUCUCUCCACCAACUCAGUGAACUCAAAGCUUCCCAGGAUGGAACUCCUCUUUUAACAUAGACUAGAUGCUUAAAGAAUCACUAAUUCUUCAAAGUCAAUGAAGCACAAUUCACAGCCCUGAACUGGCCUUGUAAAUGACAUAAUAUUAAACUUAUGGUAUAGAAUGACCGAUGACUAACAAAUGAUUAUAUGGGAAUGUUAGAUAGCACCAAAUAUCAUCAUAGUGGGUGUCUAACACAGAAAGGAUCUCCAGUCUAGCUCCUUUCUAGUUUCUUUGUCUGUGUCUCUAAAGUCCAUCGAAUUGAG
rnacentral:lncRNA from 1 species